UACGGAGGGAGCUAGCGUUGUUCGGAAUUACUGGGCGUAAAGGGCGCGUAGGCGGAUGGCACAGUCAGAUGUGAAAUUCCCGGGCUUAACCUGGGGGCUGCAUUUGAUACGUGUUGUCUUGAGUUCGGAAGAGGGUCGUGGAAUUCCCAGUGUAGAGGUGAAAUUCGUAGAUAUUGGGAAGAACACCGGUGGCGAAGGCGGCGACCUGGUCCGACACUGACGCUGAGGCGCGAAAGCGUGGGGAGCAAACAGG
rnacentral:rRNA from 1 species